rnacentral:rRNA from 1 species
CCAGCUUGCUGGGUGGAUCAGUGGCGAACGGGUGAGUAACACGUGAGCAACCUGCCCCCUACUUCGGGAUAAGCCUUGGAAACGGGGUCUAAUACCGGAUAUGAACGUCUGCCGCAUGGUGGGUGUUGGAAAGUUUUUCGGUGGGGGAUGGGCUCGCGGCCUAUCAGCUUGUUGGUGGGGUAAUGGCCUACCAAGGCGUCGACGGGUAGCCGGCCUGAGAGGGCGACCGGCCACACUGGGACUGAGACACGGCCCAGACUCCUACGGGAGGCAGCAGUGGGGAAUAUUGCACAAUGGGCGAAAGCCUGAUGCAGCGACGCCACGUGAGGGAUGACGGCCUUCGGGUUGUAAACCUCUUUCAGCAGGGAAGAAGCGCAAGUGACGGUACCUGCAGAAGAAGCGCCGGCUAACUACGUGCCAGCAGCCGCGGUAAUACGUAGGGCGCAAGCGUUGUCCGGAAUUAUUGGGCGUAAAGAGCUCGUAGGUGGUCUGUCGCGUCUGGUGUGAAAUCCCAUGGCUCAACUGUGGGCUUGCAUCGGGUACGGGCAGACUAGAGUGCUGUAGGGGAGACUGGAAUUCCUGGUGUAGCGGUGGAAUGCGCAGAUAUCAGGAGGAACACCGAUGGCGAAGGCAGGUCUCUGGGCAGUUACUGACGCUGAGGAGCGAAAGCAUGGGGAGCGAACAGGAUUAGAUACCCUGGUAGUCCAUGCCGUAAACGUUGGGCACUAGGUGUGGGGCCAGUUCCACUGGUUCUGUGCCGUAGCUAACGCAUUAAGUGCCCCGCCUGGGGAGUACGGCCGCAAGGCUAAAACUCAAAGGAAUUGACGGGGGCCCGCACAAGCGGCGGAGCAUGCGGAUUAAUUCGAUGCAACGCGAAGAACCUUACCAAGGCUUGACAUGUACGAGAACGCCCCAGAGAUGGGGUUCUCUUUGGACACUCGUACACAGGUGGUGCAUGGUUGUCGUCAGCUCGUGUCGUGAGAUGUUGGGUUAAGUCCCGCAACGAGCGCAACCCUUAUCCUAUGUUGCCAGCGGGUUAUGCCGGGGACUCAUGGGAGACUGCCGGGGUCAACUCGGAGGAAGGUGGGGAUGACGUCAAAUCAUCAUGCCCCUUAUGUCUUGGGCUUCACGCAUGCUACAAUGGCCGGUACAGAGGGCUGCGAUACCGUGAGGUGGAGCGAAUCCCAAAAAGCCGGUCUCAGUUCGGAUCGGGGUCUGCAACUCGACCCCGUGAAGUCGGA